UUCAAAAUCAUACGUGGCAGUAAAUCUGCCAAAGAUGUCACUUCAUCAGGAACUGAGCAAUGUCCACUCCUUUCGUACAGCUGUGGGUGAGCGACCUGAACUUUGUGUAACUGCGUGGAUACACCUCAGGAUUGGCAGUGGAGGUGGCGACAGUAUCCAAGUACAGAAGAAGGAACGUGUGGGUAGGAGCUAUCCGGAAGAUGUCACACGGGAGGCAAGCGCACCUGAAGGGUUGUGGAUCGAGUGAAGAGUUUUAACCAUGCUUCUGUAAAACCGUUAUUCACUUGACGCACGUAGGAUUGUUAUUGUUGCUUCUGAAUCGAAGCUACAGCCUUGGAGAAGGCUUCCAUCAGGCACACCGGAAAUUCUCUAACUCACCACCAGAUGGACCUAUUUGAUAUGUUGUUGUUUUCCAAGAAAAAGCAACCACUGUCAUAGUGAAGUCUUUCUGACAGGGAUUUAGAUUACUUAUUUUUAAAAUAAUAUUUAACCUUGAAUUUUUGAAGUAGUCAAAAAGUCACUUACACGUAGUAAUGAAUAAACGUACCUACAUACUUACAUAGUGUCAGUGAAAACAAAUACCCGCGUAGGCGAGGUGUUUGUUGCAGGUUAUUUCUUUUUUAGAUUGGGGUUUCAUAUAUCCUGGGAUGACCUCAGACUCAUGUGGCUAAGGAUGACCUUGGACUUCUGACCUUAGAGCUUCUGCUAAGUCAACAUGGCCUGUUUACUCUGGGCUAGAGAUCAGAUUCAGAGGUUUAUGUGUGCUUAGCAAGCAUUCUACAACUAAGCCACAACCCCAUCUCUGAAGCGGGGUGAUUUUGGUGUUUGGUGUUGGUUUGGGUUGGUGUUUGUUUGUCUUUUUUACUGUUUUGGGGGUCAAAGCCAAGGUUUCCCAAAUGCCUGGCAAAUGUUCUCCUACUGAGAACAUUUUUACAACUAUCUCCAAGCUUAAGGAACAGAAUAUAGCCAAAUAAAUCCUUGAAACCAACGAGACACUCUCCCAUCUUACUUUCCUUUGUACAUGGAUCAACAACCAUGAUGAAUUAUAAAUUAACAGCUAUUCUGAAAAAUCGCUUGCAGUGUGAUAAGUGACUAAGUGUGUGUGUGUGUGUGUGUGAGAGAGAGAGAGAGAGAGAGAGAGAGAGAAAUUUGACUAAAUUUUGCAAAGCAUAUUAAAA
rnacentral:lncRNA from 1 species